rnacentral:pre_miRNA from 1 species
UCGUAGUGCAAAGUUUUACGUUGUUUAUAUCCAACAUUUGAUCGUUCAUCUUAUUUAAAUUUUUUUAUGAUUAGUAUUUUUGUUAUUAUUAGAUGAUAAAACAUGAACAUAUUUUAUGUGUGACUAAUUUUUUUAAUUUUUCAAUGAAUUUUUCAAAUAGAACAUAUGAUCAAGCGUUGGACGCGGAAUGCACUUAAA